AUGCAACGAUUAAAGAAUUCAGAAGCACUGAAUGACAGUUCAGCCGAGGCUCAGGGCAGUGAGGAGGCAGGAGAUGGUGAAGGCGGUAUGUCCCAGGGCGCAAGUGAUGAGGGAGACAAAGGUACAAGUGAUGGAGGGGUUACUUCAAGUAGUGUGUCUUCAGAAGUUACUGUUGAAAAUACACCGGUCGGUAUGGACCAGAAUGAGGGGAAGAUUAAGGUCAAUGAAAAACAGGAUGAGGUGAAGAUGAGUAUAGGCCCGUCGGUGGGAACAUCCCCAUCAGAUAUUAUUGAGCCUUCAUGUCAACAAACCAAAACAAACGCAGACCCCAGAGUUGCACAGGAGGAGCCUGAUAAGGCCAAUGCAAAGAAAACCGCUAGCGAUGGAACGAGGAAAAUGGCUGCCAAUUUGGGUCAAAACGAAGUUGUUCCAGAAUCUAAACCGACGCCCGUGAUGACACCUGACCCUUCCAAGCUUUCGGACUCUUCUUCGGGCAUUAUACGCCCAUCCGCCUCCCCUGAUCCCAGCGGCAAACGCAAGAUGGCCGCCACGCUCCAUGGCCUUCCGCCCGCAGGUGGAACCGGCUCAACGGAGAAGAAGCCACCCACCCAGAGGGAGCGGAAGGUUGAGACUGACGGAAGCUGGUGCCAGACCCAACUUCCCGAGGCGGUGGCAGAGCGGUCCGUGGCGGCCACUGGAGCACUCGGGCCUGGAACUGGGGUGGAUGUAGGAGCAGGAGUUAGGCUGAGGGGUGAUGCCAGCCCUGCAGGUAGAAGGGACAGGGAUGCCAGAACAACAGACCGACACAGCGCUGAGUUUAACCUAGCGAGGCCAGGUCCUGCAACAGGGCAGGGUUGUUAUACCGUAGGGAGCUCUGCUAGUUUAGGCCGUCAUACAACGCCAUACAAUCCAGAGAUUGCUAGUGUAGGGAUGGGGAUGGCAGGGAGCUACGGGAGUCCGUACUGUUCCUUGUACACAAGCGGAGGAGGGAUGUAUGGGACCGGGCUGCCACAUGGAGGAGGCGGGAGCAGCGCUACAAGCGACUGGCAGAUGGACAGUGUGAUCGAGGCGAUAGAAAAGCAAAUGGCCGCAGUGCUGGAGAAGAUUGAGGGAGACAUGCCCUCGCUGCUCGAGCAAAUCAGUGACUGUCCUGCUGAGGCACCGCACGCCAGGAGCACGCACGCCUCGCCUGCCGCGUCUCGCGCACGCUCCUCGCAGCACUCCACGGCCGCCGCCUCAGCCACUCCGCCGCCUCUUCCAACUUCUCCGAGGCCAGUGUUGCCGUCUAUCCCUCGCUUCACUAUCCCUCCACCCUCUUAUCCUCCACCCUCCCCACCCACACAAUCCUCCCCACGGGGUGCAGGAGAGCAGGAAGAGACAGAUGGACAGAGGAGUGCUGCUUGUUCCAGCCAGUCCCCCAGAGCUGGGAUGAGUAGGGGGCUAUGA
ensembl:lncRNA